AGCUUCAAUUCUUCUCCCUUCCAUAAACCCUUGUUCACCUUAAGACGAUUUUCUCUCUGCGGUUAACUUCUUUCUGAUUUGCAUUUGUGCUAGAAAGAGGAAUUCUACAUGAAAUAUCAACAUUUCUAUGCAGAGAAAUAACUCCAGCUAAAGCCAAGCAACAAACGUCUACGAGGUGGUUUUCUCUUGAUAAAUCAAGGGACCAGUGAUGACUUCUCAGGAAAAAAGUGAAAGUAGUCCACAAUCAGCUGAAGCAGAAAAGCAGUUGGGAAGCUACCCAUAUACUAAUUGGGCAGACAAGAUACACGAACAGUACCAGAAGAUCAAAGAGAAUGCAGAAACUUACCCCUAUGUUUGGGGUUCUUAUAUAGUUGUGUAUGGAGGACUUGGGCUUUGGUUUACUUAUAGAUGGAGAAAGCUCCGUAGAACUGAGAAUCGAGUUCGAGUCCUUCAAGAAAGACUCCGGAAACUUGUUGAAGCUGAAGAGUCAGUAAGUUCCUCAUCUGCUGCCACCAGUAAGGCGCCUCCAUCUUCUGAUAUAUCAACCAAGUAGAUAGUUGCUUUUACCAAUGCAAGUGACUACCUUUUUCUUUUGUGCUCAAAUACUGAAUUGAAGUUGUCAACUAUAAGGAUAUCACUCCUUGUGUGAUGAUGUGUGAUCGUAAAGGCAAAGUUGGGCAAGCGUUAGAAGCCAUAUGAGGAAAACAGUAUCACUUACUAAAAGUUGAUGUACAUUCCUUGGCAUUUUGAGACCCCCUGACCCAUAACGAGUAUGCUUUUCUAUCGUCAACGAUUAUGUGACGUUUGUUCAUCUUAGAGAGGGAAUGUGACUUAUAUAUACAACAGUUUUAGCAGUUCUCGACUAUUUGGUUAUGUUACUUUUUGCGCAUUA